CACGUAGGGCGCAAGCGUUGUCCGGAAUUAUUGGGCGUAAAGAGCUCGUAGGCGGUCUGUUGCGUCGGCUGUGAAAUCCCGAGGCUCAACCUCGGGUCUGCAGUCGAUACGAGCAAACUAGAGUGUUGCAGGGGAGACUGGAAUUCCUGGUGUAGCGGUGGAAUGCGCAGAUAUCAGGAAGAACACCAACGGCGAAGGCAGCUCGCUAGGACGGUACUGACGCUGAGACGCGAAAGCGUGGGGAGCGAACAGG
rnacentral:rRNA from 1 species